AGUGGUUGGAUAAAGCACAUCCACUCUCAGGGCAGGGAUGAGGAGCACUCUGUCCUGUGAGGAUCCUCUGGCACAUGCUGAGGUCUGGAUUUACAGUGCAGCCUUUUCACCCUGGAAGCAGAACCUGCUCCUUCAUGUGCCAGCCCAGGGCUGUUCCCUGGGAGCCCUGAUCCUGUCCCUGCCCCCCUGCAGCUGGCCUGCCCUGGUCACUCCCCACAGCCACCCCUGAUCCCUGAUCCUGGCAUUUUCCCUUCCCUCUCCUCUCUCACUGCUCAUGCUGCUGGCCCUGAGCUCUGCUCCACAGGAGCUUUUCCAGCCUGUUCUGUCCUCAACCAGACCACGUGGAUUCCCUUAUUCCCUUCCCUUCUGAGCACAGUAAAUCUGUCUCUGGAUGCAGCCAUCCAUCCCUGUCCAUCCAAAGCCCCUUUUCCCUGGAAAAGCUGGAGGAACAUUUUCUCCAUCCCAUGUCCUGCUCUGCCAGUGCUUCCCCUCAGCCCUGGGCCUGCCUCCCUCAGCUCCCUUCAUUCCCUUGUGCACAGGCAAAAGAAUUCCCAUCACUUCUGUGGUCUGUUGUUAACCUCAGCAUCCCUUUGGGAAUCUCCCCUGGUGGCUGCAGCUCAUCCCUGCCUGGGGAAUCACAAGCUCCAGCUGCUGUUCCCCCUUUUUCCCCUGUCCUGUCUCUGUGCCACGCUCUGCUUUUCCCUCCUGUCCAUCCCAGGUUAUUUUCUCCCCACCUGUCUCCUCUGCUCUAUUCCUUACAAAACCAGGAAAAACGGGAUCCUGACUCCAGAUUUCCAGGCUGGACCAUUAUGAUCAUUGGUGCCAUUCUGAUUUAUUCUGUUUCAAUAUCUGUUUAUAACACACGAGUUUCAUUGUGUGCAACGAUGGAGAUAAAUUUUGGCCCCUUACUUUUCACAGCCAUUUUCCAGCUGUAUAUCAUCCAUUCUCCUCUCAUUUAGAUACUGACUCCUACUUCAGGAAAAAUAAAAAUAUCCCAGUAGUGUAGGUAAUAAAGCUGGGGAAACAAACUCGGAAGUGCAUUUUACAAUGGAAUUUGAUUGUGAUAAUUUUUCAUGUGUUAAAAAAGGAGCACGCUGGCUUUCUCUGGGAACUGUUUGGGUUUAUGCUUUGUUGGGAUUUUGGUUUUUUCCAUCCCCAGCUUGUAGUCAUGUGGAAGAUUUAUUUCAUUAUUUAUUUUAAUUUUUUUUCCACAGAGAAGCAUCUCUGCAUUUAUUAGCUGAGUUCAUUGAAAAGCUGUAUUUUGUAAUUUAAUGAGGCUGGAAGUUGCACAGGUAACAGCUGAAACAAAAACUCCUGGCAGUGUGAAUUCCCAUUUUGGAAGUGCACCUCCCUGCAAGCCUGCUGUAAACAUCUACAAAAAAAUACUGCAGAACGUUAUAAAAGAGAAGAUUACCAAGUUGGAGGGUCAGAUGGGUAGAAAAUUACGAGCUGCUCGUCCGUGUGCUCAGCCUUCGCCUGCGAUUGCAUCUGCUGCAGGAACAUCCCAGUGCUCCUCCAGAACAUCCCAGUGCUCCUCCAGAACAUCCCAGUGCUCCUCCAGGAACAUCCCAGUGCUCCUCCAGAACAUCCCAGUGCUCCUCCAGAAC